CUACAUAAAAUACACGUAUCACCUGAAAAUAAAUUAGAAUGAAAGAUUUAUGUGUUGAAACAUUCAUUUUUAAAAACCUGAAAAAGCUCAAAAAAAUAUUGUUUUCUUAUUUUUAUGCAUUGAGAAGAUGGCAAUUAACUCAGUGGUCUUAACAUGUACAUUUGUGCUUUAAUGCUAUUUCUUCUCGUCGUCCUUAUUUCAGUAUUAUUGAUAGAUCAUCCUGUGCCUUUUGGAGCAACUGAUGAAGUACAUGCAUAUGGCGUCUAUUGAUUCCUAAAUAAAAAAUAAACACAAUCCUUGUUCAGCUUGAGCAAGGGAAUAUUAUUAAAAUUUACACAUUGGAAUAUUUUGGUACUACCGUAAUAAAUAUGUUGUAACUUCUGCAAGCCUCACGUUUUAAAUCUGAAUAUUUAACUCUCUCGAGUGGAGAAAUAUUGUUACACACUUAAAAACGAAACAGUGGUAGAAUCUAUUUGUAAAGCAGCA
rnacentral:lncRNA from 1 species